CCAUAUAUUUAGGACAUCAAAUCUGAGACAACACUUAGAAGCCAACCACACCAGAAUUUCAGAUGGGUUUGUCCUUGGAGAUAGUGGAUAUGCAUGCCGACCCUACUUACUCACUCCCUACCUUCACCCACAAGGGAACCCUCAACAGCGGUAUAACGACAGACUGUGUAGGACCAGAGUCACCAUAGAGAGGACCUUUGGCCGAUUAAAACGAAGGUUUCAUGUUCUGCAUUCUGAGAUCCGUAUGAACCCAGGAAAGGUGUGCAAAAUUAUAUUGACCUGCGCAAUAUUGCACAACAUAGCUAUCUUUCGGAGUGAGGUUCUUGAUGUCGAUGAUGCCCAUGUGAGACAGGACCAGCCACCCAUUGACCACUACAGAGGACGGAAUGACGGCAAGGCUAUCAGGGAUCAUAUAGCAAGUACUUUCUUUGCUAACUAGACUCUGGUUCUCUCUCUCUCCUGCUAAGACCUGGUACUGCAUAUGGAGUACAUCAUCAUUACUGUGCUUAGUCUUCCUGGAUUUUCUCAGUCUGCCCUGGAUCUUCUCUGUCUGCACUUCAUCUUGCCUGCUUGAUGGUGGAAUUUUAGAACAUUCAAUUGGUGUAUCCAUGGGUGAUGCUGGUAGUUUGACGCCAGAUUCAGGAUCAGUUGAAAUAGUUUGCUGAUUAUUUGU